rnacentral:rRNA from 1 species
UACGAAGGGUGCAAGCGCUGUUCGGAAUUACUGGGCGUAAAGGGUUUGUAGGCUGAAAUGUAAGUCAAGUGUGAAAUCCCCGAGCUAAACUUGGGACGUGCAUUUGAAACUGUGUUUCUUGAGUAUCGUAGAGGGUGGUGGAAUUGUAGGUGUAGGAGUGACAUCCGUAGAGAUCUGCAGGAACAUCAGAGGCGAAGGCGACCACCUGGCCGAUUACUGACGCUGAGGAACGAAAGCGUGGGGAGCAAACAGG